AUGAGUCAGGCAGCAGCUGUUAGCAAUACAAAAGAAUGGGUAAAUGGCCUUGAUGGGCCAUCUAUCUCAAACCUUCUCAAUCAAUUGGACAGACUUUUUGCCCAGCUCAGGGGUCACAGGACCACUGAUAGGUCUGCCAUGGAAAUGCAUGGCCAUGAAUUCUCCCUCCAGGGUCUAUGCAUAGGAAAGACAGAAGCAUGGAAGCGUAAGUGGAAGCAUGGAAGGAAAGCAAGAAGGUCCAAACCAGACAGCAGAGAAUUGCACUCCAUCCCACACAAAACUUCAAGACAGGUAUGUAAUUUUCCUUACCUCACUGUUCUAAGAGAAUGAACCCCUUUCUUCCGCACACACACUCACACUUUUUUCUAAUGGUCUUUGAGAACUGUAUCUUUAGUCAUCUUUGCUAAAAGUUUCCCUAAGGUGCAAAUGAAAAAUCUCCCAGAUUCUGGGGGAACCCUUUGUCAGAAGAAUUCCAACCGUUACAGACCAUCUUUGAAGAAAUUGAGAAUUGUGAAAUUAACAUAGAGCUCUCUGAAGUUGCAAUUCUUUAUUCUCCUGUUUUAAGCAAAAUAUACAUGCUUGUACACUUCUGGUCUGAUAUUUUAUUUUCUAUCUCAAAAAAAGACUACAUUUGGGAAUUUGGACCUUUCCCUGCACAGUUGCUACCAUUGACUGUACAGAUCCCAAACGUGUAGACUUGCUUGAACUAAUUUCCAAAAAUCAUUUUCCAUUUUUGUACAUUGACUGCAUGUCUCUCCUAGUCACAUACCUACACCUAACAAUACUUUACGGUUGUUGAUGCAUUAACCUUUCUUUGUCUUACAACGUUUUAAAGGAAAAAUCGUGUCUCUGAUAAUGUGUCUGAUAUGCGUGCCAAGGCCUACUCUGAAAAAAGUACCCAUUGCAUUUGUUGAGGCAGACCGUGCCUCAGCUGCUCACUCGCUUUCAGUGUUGGACCAAUUAUUUAGUCUGUCAGAGAACACCAUCCUACUCAUCGAUGUUUCCCAUCCUGUUGUCAGUCUGAAGCUAUGAAUGGCUCAUGGACUUCCACACUUGAACAAUGUAGCAAACCAUGAGGGACCAUGACUUGAUGACACCACAACUCAUUUUCAUCACUCUGUCUAAACUGUUAUUCUCUUUUCUGUGCUGAUGACACCACACUGUGUGGUGUGGUCAACACACUGGAGUGAAGGGAUGCCAUCCAGAGGGACCUCCACAGGUUUGAGAGGUGGGCCUGGGCAAACCUCUUGAAGUUCAACAGGGCCAAGUGCAAGGUCCUGCAUCUUGGCCGAGGCAAUCCCAAGGUCAAAUACAGGCUGGGUGGAGAAUG
ensembl:lncRNA